rnacentral:misc_RNA from 1 species
AUAAAAAUGGCUUUGCAGCUGUGGGAGACCCUCAAGGAAGCAAUCACCGUCUACACGGGUCUCUCUCCAGCCACCUUCUUUACAGUUCUGGCUUUGGCUUUGGCCGUCUACUAUGUGAUAUCUGGGUUCUUUGGAUCCUCGGAUAAUCAUCCAAGGCCUAGAAGCGUUGAGGAGCAGAUGCAACCUCUGCCUCCUCCUGUUCAGCUUGGUGA